rnacentral:rRNA from 1 species
AUGAUUCUUAACAGAGGAAUGGGUGUGAAGCUCAAGACCCCAUUUAAUGGAGCCGUCUAUGAUGCAUGCGAUGAGAUUCAAGAUUUAUUUCUGUACAUAGCAGUGAUUAGUGGAUUACUGUCACACGCUCCUGUUGUCAUCCAUGUCUCCUCAGGUGCCUUAGUGAAUUUCUGGCGUACAUGUGAAUAUCUCAUGGAUAUACAAUCAGUACACUCACCUGAACGAGGAUGGCGGCGAGCAGAGCGGGGUUGCGUCUUGUCCUUCUUGCGUCGAAGGUCCGGUGCACCUUUGGUGUGCCUUUGCUGGUUUCUGACUGUCACAAAGAAGUCGGAGCUGCGGACGGCGAGGCCACUGCGGCAACGAUGA